rnacentral:SRP_RNA from 1 species
AGUCAGGCCCCAUGCAAUGCGCGCCGGCGAAUCCCGCCAGGACCGGAAGGUAGCAACGGCAGUUAGGAUGCGCAUGUGCCGUGGGUCGCCUGGCUUUU